GAUGAAGAACGCAGCGAAAUGCGAUACGUAAUGUGAAUUCCAGAAUUCAGUGAAUCAUCGAGUCUUUGAACGCACAUUGCGCCCCCUGGUAUUCCGGGGGGCAUGCCUGUCCGAGCGUCAUUGCUGCCCUCAAGCACGGCUUGUGUGUUGGGCCUCCGCCCCCCGGCUCCCGGGGGGCGGGCCCGAAAGGCAGCGGCGGCACCGCGUCCGGUCCUCGAGCGUAUGGGGCUUCGUCACCCGCUCCGUAGGCCCGGCCGGCGCCCGCCGGCGACCCCCCUCAAUCUUUCCAGGUUGACCUCGGAUCAGGUAGGGAUACCCGCUGAACUUAAGCAUAUCAAUAAGCGGAGGA
rnacentral:misc_RNA from 1 species